AGUCACUAACACAUGCAAGUCGAGCGGUAACACAAGGAGCUUGCUCCUGAGGUGACGAGCGGCGGACGGGUGAGUAAUGCCUAGGUAUCUGCCCAGUCGAGGGGGAUAACAGUUGGAAACGACUGCUAAUACCGCAUACGCCCUACGGGGGAAAGGAGGGGACCUUCGGGCCUUCCGCGAUUGGAUGAACCUAGGUGGGAUUAGCUAGUUGGUGAGGUAAUGGCUCACCAAGGCGACGAUCCCUAGCUGGUCUGAGAGGAUGAUCAGCCACACUGGAACUGAGACACGGUCCAGACUCCUACGGGAGGCAGCAGUGGGGAAUAUUGCACAAUGGGCGAAAGCCUGAUGCAGCCAUGCCGCGUGUGUGAAGAAGGCCUUCGGGUUGUAAAGCACUUUCAGCGAGGAGGAAAGGUUAGUGAUUAAUACUCACUAGCUGUGACGUUACUCGCAUAAGAAGCACCGGCUAACUUCGUGCCAGCAGCCGCGGUAAUACGAGGGGUGCAAGCGUUAAUCGGAAUUACUGGGCGUAAAGCGUACGCAGGCGGUUUGUUAAGCGAGAUGUGAAAGCCCCGGGCUCAACCUGGGAACUGCAUUUCGAACUGGCAAACUAGAGUCUUGUAGAGGGGGGUAGAAUUUCAGGUGUAGCGGUGAAAUGCGUAGAGAUCUGAAGGAAUACCGGUGGCGAAGGCGGCCCCCUGGACAAAGACUGACGCUCAGGU
rnacentral:rRNA from 1 species